rnacentral:rRNA from 1 species
UAAGAAUGAAUUUCUGCCCUAUCAACUUUCGAUGGUAAUGUAGUGGAUUACCAUGGUGAUGACGGGUAACGGGGAAUUAGGGUUUGAUUCCGGAGAAAAGGCCUGAGAGACGGCCAUUACUUCUAAGGAAGGCAGCAGGCGCGUAAAAUUAACCCAAUCCUAAUACGGGGAGGUAGUGACAAGAAAUAUUGAUAUUGGACCCAAAGGGUACAAUGAUUGAAAUGAGAACAAUAUAAAAAACUUAACGACUAACAAUUGGAGGGCAAGUCUGGUGCCAGCAGCCGCGGUAAUUCCAGCUCCAAGAGUGUAUAUUAAAAGUUGUUGCGGUUAAAAAGCUCGUAGUUGAAUUUUCUGAAAAUAAUCUUGUGAUUGAUUUAACCGUCAUGAACAAAAAUUGUUUACAUACUUGAUAGAUGGAACAUUAUCUUAAUGAC